rnacentral:rRNA from 1 species
AGUGAACGCUGGCGGUAGGCCUAACACAUGCAAGUCGAACGGCAGCACAGUAAGAGCUUGCUCUUACGGGUGGCGAGUGGCGGACGGGUGAGGAAUACAUCGGAAUCUACUUUUUCGUGGGGGAUAACGUAGGGAAACUUACGCUAAUACCGCAUACGACCUACGGGUGAAAGCAGGGGAUCUUCGGACCUUGCGCGAUUGAAUGAGCCGAUGUCGGAUUAGCUAGUUGGCGGGGUAAAGGCCCACCAAGGCGACGAUCCGUAGCUGGUCUGAGAGGAUGAUCAGCCACACUGGAACUGAGACACGGUCCAGACUCCUACGGGAGGCGGCAGUGGGGAAUAUUAGACAAUGGGCGCAAGCCUGAUCCAGCCAUACCGCGUGGGUGAAGAAGGCCUUCGGGUUGUAAAGCCCUUUUGUUGGGAAAGAAAAGCAGCAGGUUAAUACCCCGCUGUUCUGACGGUACCCAAAGAAUAAGCACCGGCUAACUUCGUG